rnacentral:rRNA from 1 species
UACGUAGGGGGCAAGCGUUGUCCGGAUUUAUUGGGCGUAAAGAGCUCGUAGGUGGUUCGGUAAGUCGGAUGUGAAAUCUCCAGGCUCAACCUGGAGGGGUCAUUCGAUACUGCCGUGACUAGAGGUCGGUAGGGGAGUGUGGAAUUCCUGGUGGAGCGGUGAAAUGCGCAGAUAUCAGGAGGAACACCCGUAGCGAAGGCGGCACUCUGGGCCGGAACUGACGCUGAGGAGCGAAAGCGUGGGGAGCGAACAGG